rnacentral:rRNA from 1 species
AGCCUGAAGGCGCCCGAUCUCGUCUGAUCUCGGAAGCUAAGCAGGGUCGGGGCCUGGUUAGUAUCUUGGAUGGGAGACCACCUGGGAAUCCCGGGU